UACGUAGGCUGCAAGCGUUAUCCGGAUUUACUGGGCGUAAAGGGAGCGUAGGCUGUUUUGUAAGUCGUUCUUUAAAGCGUGCCGCUUAACGGCAUUGAUGAGAACGAUACUGCAUGACUUAGAGAAAGAGAGGGGUAGCUGGAACUUUCGGUGUAGGGGUGAAAUCCGAUGAUAUCGAAAGGAACACCAAGGGUGAAAACAGGCUACUGGCUCUUUUCUGACGCUGAGGCUCGAAAGCUAGGGGAGCGAAAGGG
rnacentral:misc_RNA from 1 species